rnacentral:lncRNA from 1 species
AGCAGGGUGGGGCAAACGCGGAGCACGGAGGACGGGGCCGGGCGACCUGGGCACCAGCAGGACCCGAGGCCAGGAGCCAGGGGCCCAGAAGGUGAGGGCACCCCGGGUGGGCGCAGGGUGGGCGCUCUGUGGGCAACGGGCCCUGCGGCCGGGCCCAGGAGCAGGCCUCGUUGCGGGGUUGGGGGGGGAGGUUGGAGCGGAGGCUGGCAGAGGAGGCAGGCACAAAGGAGGGCAGUGCCAGGCAGCUGUGGCCGACGCAGGCAUCGCUGCCCGCCUGCCCCUAGCCGGCCUCCCCGCCGAGGGGAGGACGCGUGUGCAGGGGCCCGGGCAGGAGCGGCAGACACCGAGCCGCGGCCACAGGGCCAGCCGCACAGUCGGAGGAAGGGCCGGAGCGAGGCGGGGCCCGGGGCUGUCAAGGAGAAAAACAUCCCAAGGCCUGCAAAUUGCUGCUCUCAGCUUUUUUCCCCCCUCCUCCUGCUUCGCGGGGUGGGGGGGUUGGGGGGGGGGUGGUGGGGGGAGAAAGCAGCGCUUCCUCUGGAGGCGGAUGCAAAAAGGAUGCAGAAUUUUAACCAUCUCCUGCACCGGCCCGUCCUUCCUGAGCAGGGUUUGGGCCCAGGCCUGGCGCCGUGGCUCCCUGGGAAGGGAAAGGCCAGAGCAGCCGAUGCCGGUUCUGGGGGACGCCGGAAAGCCCAGCCUCCUCUGCACCUCCAUCCAGAACCGGGGGCCCCGCAGCACCUGCAGCAGGGGUGGAGGGUGGGAGGCAGAAGGGGCCUGGUGCUCUCGGAGGCUGCACCUCACGGUACCAGUCGCUACCCAGAGCAGCACGCCUGUUUGCUGGCCUGCUCUUGGGUGUUAAACAUGGUGUCCAGGUCCCCGGUUGGAGACCCCAGCCCUGUACCGGGUGAGGGUCUUAGCUCCCACUGACUUGGGGCCUUCAACCACACUGGCAUCCCAGGCCUUCCUCCUGACUGACUUCUGUUUUAAAAAUAAUGUGGAACGUUUUCUGGCAUCUGGUGAGGGAUUCACACACUGUUUACUGAGGGCAGGACUUAAGGAAUGAGUUCAGAAGGUAUCUAUCUGGUCACUGGACAAACGGCAGGCAAGCCCCCUGUGCUCCUCGCUGGAUUGAGCUUCUAGAGCCUCAGAGAUGGAAUUCGCCGUUUUGCCGCGAUUUGGCGUUAACUUAUUGACCCAUGGGGAGGAGGGUCACUUCCCGUGAAAAGAAGGCAGAGAUGUUUUGCUGUGCCCAGUGUGAGGAAGCGAAGGAAAAGAAAGAUCUUUUGAAAAUGUGUACAUCUACUUGCAGCUUGAAAAUUCCAAGUGCCAGACAUUUUUCUUGGAGGAAAUAAAUGUCUUCAAUU